CAAUAGCGUAUAUUUAAGUUGUUGCAGUUAAAAAGCUCGUAGUUGGAUUUCGGAUGGGACUUGCCGGUCCGUCGUUUCGAUGUGCACUGGCCAGUCCUAUCUUGUUGUCGGGGACUAGCUCCUGGGCUUCACUGUCCGGGACUAGGAGCUGACGAGGUUACUUUGAGUAAAUUAGAGUGUUCAAAGCAAGCCUACGCUCUGAAUACAUUAGCAUGGAAUAACACGAUAGGACUCUGGCUUAUCUUGUUGGUCUGUGAGACCAGAGUAAUGAUUAAGAGGGACAGUCGGGGGCAUUCGUAUUUCAUUGUCAGAGGUGAAAUUCUUGGAUCUAUGAAAGACGAACUUCUGCGAAAGCAUUUGUCAAGGAUGUUUNCAUUAA
rnacentral:rRNA from 1 species